CACCAUAGUUCAAUGAGAACCGAUACUUAUCAGCGCCAGCACCAGUGUGAUUUACGUAUAAGUCUCCGUUACUAGCUUUAUAAAGAAGAGAAGGGCUGAAGGUAGCAUUAUUUGGAUAGACCAAAGGAUUUUCCUCAUUUCCUACUCGAAAUAUGAGUCUAGCAAUUUUUGAUUGCAUUGUUUGAUUGGAUGUACUUUUAACUUCAUUUAAAAGUAACUCGUGCAUCCCGUUCGGGACGGAAUCAAGAGUAGCAUUGAAAAACCACUUUGUAACUGGAGCAUUCGUGUAUUCUUGAGGUGCAGGUUGAUCCAAAUAUCCGCAAGAAAUGCUAUCUUCUAGAAUUUUUGGAGCAAAUGAACUAUUUAAUGUACGCGAAUUAAAGCCGAUACGUUUAAAUAGAUCUUUACAAUCGACUUCUUCUGAAAAACCAAGACUAAUUUUGAAAGAUGUAACUUCAGUUGCUGAGUAUAUACGAGAAUCAUGGCCCGGUAAGAAUUUGGUCAAAUAUAAAGAAGGUCUAAUCCAGUCCUCUUUUUUAACAAAUAUUUUAGAUCCGUAUGCGUCAAUAGUUAAGUGAGGGAUGCAUCCGAUAUUUCCAAUAUCUGGAGAAUCAAUAGUUGAGGUACUAAGGUCGAUUUCCUCGUAAGGGUAAAGAAGAUUCUUUACUGUAGAUCCAGAAGAAUAAGGGCCUAAAAGCGCCGGAUACGGAGGAAAUUUGUUAUCAACUUGUCUCAUACAAUCCAUGUCGUA